GGCUCAGGACGAACGCUGGCGGCGUGCCUAACACAUGCAAGUCGAGCGAGGAGAUUCCUCGGGAUGAUCCUAGCGGCGGACGGGUGAGUAACACGUGGGCAACCUGCCUCAUAGAGAGGAAUAGCCUUCCGAAAGGGAGAUUAAUACCUCAUAACAUUGCAGUUUCGCAUGGAACAGCAAUUAAAGGAGUAAUCCGCUAUGAGAUGGGCCCGCGGCGCAUUAGCUAGUUGGUGAGGUAAUGGCUCACCAAGGCGACGAUGCGUAGCCGACCUGAGAGGGUGAUCGGCCACAUUGGGACUGAGACACGGCCCAGACUCCUACGGGAGGCAGCAGUGGGGAAUAUUGCACAAUGGGGGAAACCCUGAUGCAGCCAACGCCGCGUGAGUGAUGACGGCCUUCGGGUUGUAAAGCUCUGUCUUCAGGGACGAUAAUGACGGUACCUGAGGAGGAAGCCACGGCUAACUACGUGCCAGCAGCAGC
rnacentral:rRNA from 1 species